rnacentral:rRNA from 1 species
CAGCAGCCGCGGUAAUACGGAGGGUGCAAGCGUUAAUCGGAAUUACUGGGCGUAAAGCGCACGCAGGCGGUCUGACAAGUCAGAUGUGAAAUCCCCGGGCUUAACCUGGGAACUGCAUUUGAAACUGUCAGGCUGGAGUCUUGUAGAGGGGGGUGGAAUUCCAGGUGUAGCGGUGAAAUGCGUAGAGAUCUGGAGGAAUACCGGUGGCGAAGGCGGCCCCCUGGACAAAGACUGACGCUCAGGUGCGAAAGCGUGGGGAGCAAACAGGAUUAGAUACCCACGUAGUCCCUGUCUCUUAUAC